rnacentral:lncRNA from 1 species
GGAAAAAUAGUUUUUUCCACCAUUUUAGCUGCUUUCUUUUGGACAGGUAAUAUGCUGAUCAGCUUUAUCUAAACCUGUGCUAUUUAUGUUAUAAUCCAUACUGCAGCUAUUUUAUUUUUGAUUUUGUCCUCUGCUUUGUUCUGACCUUUGUACUGUAGAGGUUGCUUGGUGUGAAGUUGACAAUAUCAAAACAUUCCUUGUGUCUUCACAUUUUAGAUACAAGAAAUGAUUUCUUCACAUGAAAAUUAUUUCCCCUUGUUUUAUUUUUUUGAUAUAACUUUUUGUGGUAAAUUGCUUUUUUUUUCCCAUACAUAUUCUGACAGUUUUUGUUUGGUUUUUUCACAAAUAAUCAAAUAUGGCUGGUGUGCCAUAAUAUUUGUAUAUAUAUGCUGUGUCCUUUACCUAGAUAAUUUUUUAAUAAUGUUUUUAGAAGUUUAUUAUUCCAGAAGCAUUAUCAGUUUUUCUUCAGUAAACUUCCAUAUUUUGAACAUACCCAUUGGAUGAAUCACACACUAUAAAUAAUUUUAUUCCAU